rnacentral:rRNA from 1 species
ACGUAGGAGACGAGCGUUAUCCGGAAUUACUGGGCGUAAAGCGCGAGUAGGCGGAAGUGCAAGUCUUUUGUGAAAGCUCCUGGCUAAACUGGGAGAGGUCGAAAGAUACUGCACAUCUGGAGUAUGGAAGAGGGGUGCGGAAUUCCGGGUGUAGUGGUGAAAUGCGUAGAUAUCGGGAGGAACACCAGUGGCGAAAGCGAUUUUCUGGAUCGUUUCUGACGCUCAGACGCGAAAGCUAGGGUAGCAAACGG